AAAUGACUCCUGGCAACGGAUAUCUCGGCUCUUGCUUCGAUGAAGAACGUAGCGAAAUGCGAUAGUUGGUGUGAAUUGCAGAAUCCCGUGAAUCAUCGAGUAUUUGAACGCAAGUUGCGCCCGAAGCCUUUUGGUCAAGGGCAUGCAUGCUUGGGCGUCAUGA
rnacentral:rRNA from 1 species